ACCGAACCGAAACUUGGAGUUGAAAGAAGGAAGGAAGAAAUGGCGACUGCAACUGGAAGUUCUGGCGCUGCUGCGGCCUCUGAAACACCAUCUGCACAGCCAUGGCCAAAUAUAAGGGAAGCCUAUGAAAUCAAAACGGUUUUAGGUCAUGGAGCUACCGCGACCGUCCACAAAGCAGUCUGCAUUCCUCGUGAUGAGGAGUGCGCCAUCAAGAGGAUCAAUCUGGAGAAGUGCAACACCACCAUGGAAGAACUAGCGAAAGAGAUCCAGGCCAUGUGUUUGUGUAAACACGUCAACGUGGUACAGUACUUCACCUCCUUUGUGGUGAAAGAUGAGAUCUGGCUAGUUAUGAGGCUGUUGGAAGCUGGUUCGUGCCUCGAUCUUAUCAAGUACAUGAUGAAGAAAGGGAAAGGAAAGGGUGGUCUCUUUGAGGAGGCUGUCAUUGCUACCAUCCUGAGGGAAACGUUACAAGGUCUAGACUACCUCCAUGAAAAUGGUCAACUCCAUAGGGAUAUUAAAGCAGGAAACAUCCUCUUGGGCUCAGAUGGUACAGUCCAGCUCGCUGACUUCGGUGUAAGCUCGUGGAUCGCGACCGGUGGUGACCUCUCCCGUGACAAAGUUCGCACGACCUUCGUGGGUACACCUUGCUGGAUGGCCCCAGAGGUCAUGGAGCAGGUGACUGGAUAUAACUUCAAGGCAGACAUCUGGAGUUUUGGCAUACUUGCCAUUGAGUUGGCUACAGGGGCAGCACCCUAUGCCAAGUUUCCUGCUAUGAAGGUACUGAUGUUAACUCUACAAAAUGAGCCACCCAACCUGGACUCUUGCUCAGAAAACAAAGACGAGUACAAGAAAUACAGCAAGGAAUUCAGGAAGAUGAUCUCAAAAUGCCUACAAAAGGAUCCGACGAAGAGACCUACUGCUUCCGAACUGCUCAAGAGUCAAUUCUUCAAGAAAGCCAGGGACAAGAAGUACCUCAUUGAGAGUCUCAUUCAAGAAGGACUCAAAGUCAGACAAGCCCAGCAACAAAAUGUCAAGCGAGUGCCGGGGUCAAGCGGCCGUCUGCACAGGACAGUCGACGGAGCCUGGGAAUGGUCAGAUGAGGAACUGGAUGCGGAAAGCGAGGAGGGCAAGUCGGCAAGCAUCGGACGAUCGCCGAGGGUCCGUGCGCAGUACAAGGAGGAUCUGGAGAAUGAGAUGGGCACCAAGACAGAAACCGAGAGUAUCAAGGACGAGGAUGUCAAGACUGUGGAUGCCCCUCGGAGCGGAGAGACGGAGCAGAUCUCAGAUGGAGGAGACCAAACCCCGCCCUUAAGCCUCAUCCUCAGGCUCAGGAAUGCAUCUAAGGAGUUGCAUGACAUCAGGUUUGAGUUUAAAGCGGGCCAAGACACACCCAAUGGUCUCUCCCAGGAACUGGUCAAGGAAGGCCUGGUUGACGGCAGGGAUGUCAUCGUAGUUGCAGCAAACCUAGAGAAGGUUGUUCAGAAUCGUGAAUGUAAAUCCAUGACGUUCAGACUGAACUCUGGAUGUGAGGUGAAUGAAGUGCCAGAUGAUAAGGCUCUUAUAGGUUUUGCUCAGCUCACUGUCAGUUAGUCUUGCUUUCCAAACCCUAAAGAAUAACUUAAAGGGCGGAAACUACACAGGAUUAAAAAAAAUAUGUGAUGUAUAGAGAAUUUAUAAGAGUUAGAGCUUCUUAAAGAAGAAUGGUAUUGAAUCACGCAUUGCUAAUUGUCAUGAACCCACUAAAAAUAGGUGUGUAUGAUAACAAUAAUGAUAAUAGUCACAAUUGUAUAGCGUUGAAUACUACGUUUCUAAGCGCUUUACAUUGUAAUUAUGUGUCUGUAUAACCCUAGCCCGUUUCAGACAUGGUGCUGUAAACUCUCUCAAAGAGACGUGCCUCUGUCAAAGCUCGUGUGUAAAUGAAUGUCCAAAAGCAAUGUUUUAGGAUGUAAACAAAAAUUAAAGCUUACCUCCAGAAUGGCCCCUGCAUGGUUUCUAUACUAAGAGAUACAGACAUGUAAAAUGUGAUUUGCAUAUCUCAUUUAUUUUAUAUUUAUAGGGUUUGAAACCAAGUCAGUCACUUAGGUAGCUUGGGGGAAAAUGUAGCGCCACAAAAAACGCAUCUGGAGCAUAAUAGUACAUGACAUCUGUGGAAGAAAAGUUGUAAUUCAACUUGCCUCGAUGACAGUUUUUGGUAAAAUUCAAUCAAGGUAGUUGAUGGAAUUACUAGCUUUGUGUCCUAAUUAUAUGGUUCUACAUGAACAGAAUAAGAUUUUUUUUCAACAACUGUGCAAUUUGCAUUCCAGACGCUUCUUUCGUGCCACUUCAUUUCGCGAAGCUACCUUAAUAUGUAUACGUGCAUAUAUUAUCAGUGAAUGAUAUUCCUGGAUCGAGCUUUAAGCUGUAGAUCCUCAAACUGUUUAUCUAUAACUGGGGAUUAGUGAUGCAAAGCUAACACUGGGGUGUUCGGAAAUUAACACUGAGGGGUCAACAAGAAUGUGACUACAAGACUAAAAUAAUAUAAGGCUAUCUCCUAAUUAUUAGAAAACCAACACAGGUAUUGAAUAGACUAAUUAGAGAAGUUGUAAAGUGGAAACUAAGGUUAUAAUGCAAGCAUUGUAAAGUUAUAUGCUAUCUAUUCAGUGUUUUCUAUCUUCAUCUUUAUACUGACCGACAAGCUGCCAUUCAGGUCAUGUUAAACUGAAACUGGUUUUAAAACACUAGAUUGUGGUGGUGUAAAAUUAUUGCAAAGGUGUUUUUAUAUCUUCAACCUUAUACUGAAUGUCAAGCUACAGGUGUUGUCAUGUGUUAAAUUCAGGUGUCAAAGAGCUGUCAAUGCUAGGUGUUUUAUUCCUACUUGUGGGUGUUUUAUAACCAAAUGACCACUGAGGGGAUGCGAGGUGUAAGUUAGCACUACAGUGUUUAAAAUUACUACUCCUGAGGUGUUGCAGCACUUUUACUGAUGUGUUCUAAAGCGGUCACUGAAGUGUUGAAAUGCUAUCACAGAGGUGUUGAAAUGCGAUCACAAAGGUGUUGAAAUGCGAUCACAGAGGUGUUGAAAUGCUAUCACUGAGGUGUUGAAAUGCUAUCACAGAGGUGUUGAAACACUAUCACAGAGGUGUUGAAAUGCUAUCACUGAAGUGUUGAAAUGCUAUCACAGAGGUGUUGAAAUGCGAUCACAGAGGUGUUGAAAUGCGAUCACAGAGGUGUUGAAAUGCUAUCACUGAGGUGUUGAAAUGCUAUCACUGAGGUGUUGAAAUGCUGUCAAUGCUGUGUUGAAAUUCCAUCAUUUAAUUGUUGUAAAGCUGUAUUGGCCUACAAUGCAUUAAUGUGACUGAGCUAUGAAGUUAGCCCCUAAAUCUUCGAAAUUAUCUCAUAUUUCUUGUCAUCGUGAUCAUUUCUUCGGACAAAACUGGUUAUUCAAUGACAUUUUCAGCUUUAUAAAUAAAGGAUAUAAAUCAAAUAUACCAUGCACUGUUUUUUAGGCACUGGUUAAAUUAUGUAUUCACUUCGGGGACAAGCAUAGUAACUAUUUUCUUUGGGGUUAAGCCCCUCAGAAAAUGUUGAUAUACCAGUCACUUAGCAGUCAUAUACCAGUUUAUAAUUUUUACUGGAGCGUCUCGGUGCAUGGUAGGAUUUGAGUGAUAUGUACAUAUGUGUACUAUAUUACUCUAAUUUUUUUUGGCUGUGCAGGGUUUUCAUUCAUAGUGGAUAAAGAGUAAAGAAGCACUGUCAUUUUUCUUUUGGCUUAUGGCGGCAAGUAUUUUUUAGUCAAAAGAAAGAAAAAUUACCUUGAACUAUGCAUAACUAACCUUAAUUUUUGUUGAAGGAUAGUCCUUUGGAGGUGUUUGUAAGCCACGGGAAGUUGGUAAACUCUAAAAUCACAUUGCCAGCACUUUCAUUUGUGCAUAUUGAGCAUUUGAAAGCACACAUGACUCCAAGUCCAAAGUAGUCUUGUGGGAAGGCAAAACUUGGUGCUUUACAUGUAGUUUCAGGUACUUGAAGUGUUUCUAAACAUUGCUUGACAUUAAAAUAAGGGCUAUGUACAUGUAAGUGGUAGUCAGGGCAAAGUCAGAGUUUGGGGAUUGUGUGAUCACCAACUUACCCAGUAUGACGUCACAUGUGGGUACUCUUUUCUUGAGGAAAAAUCCCAUUAUGUUUUAUGGAACCUGAAAGAAAAUUCCACUCAAUCUUUAAUCUUCAUUUUGCGGGAUAUGAAAUUAAUUAAGGUGAGGUGUAGUUUUAUAACGAAUUCAAUCUGCAUUAUUGGAUCAGUAAUAGCAAUUGGCAUGUUAUACCCUAUGGAAUGAUUUCAUAGCUGUUUGAGCUCAUGAUAUGUUUGUUUUGUUUAUUUUUUUUUUACUUAAAGUCUUUCAUAUAGAAAUAAGCACUUAUAAUCAGCUGUGAAGCUUCAGCUAUAUAAUAAGGUUAAUUCUUGUACAGUUUACCUAGAACUUUUCUUUUCUGUUGCUAUGUAAAACUUUAUUUGCUAGCAUUGAUUUAUUUGUGUGUCUUCCCUUUUAUGUUUCAAUAUGAUUGAGAUGUGUCCUUUAAGAGUCUGAUUCUGCAUGUGUAUUCUGAGUAUAAUUGAUAAGUAGGAAGCGUUUCUUUUCUGGAACCUGAACUUUAAGUGAGGUUACAUUGAUAUCAUAUACAUAUCAUAAUCAAUUUUGUUUCAUGUAGAUGUAGUAAAAAGAAAGAAAAACAACUUCAAAGGUGUACAAAUCACUAAAACUAUACAAUAUCUUCCAUUCGUGAAUAGAAUCACAUUAAUUUUACUAUUUUAUUUUCAUGAUGAAAUGCAUUAGUAGUUAACUCUUUGAUUUCUAUAUUUACACCAUAGCUUUCAAGUAAUUGAAUAGGACUUUCACCUGGAAUUAAAAUACAUUCUGAAAGUAAUUAAUUUCGGGUUAGGAAUCUUUAAGAUCCUGGUAAAACUUUCCCUUCCUUUGUUAUACACACGCAAAGCCAUAUACAAAUCAGAUUUAUUUUAGAAUCGCAUAUACAUUUAGUUCAGCAAUGUGCCACAACAUUAGUGUAGAUUAUAAUUAUUUUGAUUAUUACAUUUGCAUGAUAGCUCUUUAUCUAAUUAUUUUUUUCAAUGUAAUCCACGUGUGCCAAUAUUGCAAAUAAAUUUGACAGUCGGCAUGAAUCAA